rnacentral:rRNA from 1 species
UACGUAGGGUGCGAGCGUUAAUCGGAAUUACUGGGCGUAAAGCGCGCGCAGGCGGUUUGCUAAGUCAGAUGUGAAAUCCCCGGGCUUAACCUGGGAACUGCAUUUGUGACUGGCAAGCUAGAGUAUGGCAGAGGGGGGUAGAAUUCCACGUGUAGCAGUGAAAUGCGUAGAGAUGUGGAGGAAUACCGAUGGCGAAGGCAGCCCCCUGGGCCAAUACUGACGCUCAUGCACGAAAGCGUGGGGAGCAAACAGG